rnacentral:rRNA from 1 species
GAACGCUGGCGGCAGGCCUAACACAUGCAAGUCGAGCGGCAGCGCGGGGCAACCUGGCGGCGAGCGGCGGACGGGUGAGGAAUGCAUCGGAAUCUACCCUGUCGUGGGGGAUAACGUAGGGAAACUUACGCUAAUACCGCAUACGACCGAGAGGUGAAAGUGGGGGACCGCAAGGCCUCACGCGAUUGGAUGAGCCGAUGCCGGAUUAGCUAGUUGGAGGGGUAAAGGCCCACCAAGGCGACGAUCCGUAGCUGGUCUGAGAGGAUGAUCAGCCACAUUGGGACUGAGACACGGCCCAUACUCCUACGGGAGGCAGCAGUGGGGAAUAUUGGACAAUGGGCGCAAGCCUGAUCCAGCCAUGCCGCGUGUGUGAAGAAGGCCUUCGGGUUGUAAAGCACUUUUGUUCGGGAAGAAAUCGUGCGGAUUAAUACUCUCGUACGGAUGACGGUACCGAAAGAAUAAGCACCGGCUAACUUCGUGCCAGCAGCCGCGGUAAUACGAAGGGUGCAAGCGUUACUCGGAAUCACUGGGCGUAAAGCGUGCGUAGGCGGUUCGUUAAGUCUGCUGUGAAAGCCCUGAGGCUCAACCUGGGAACUGCAGUGGAUACUGGCGGACCUAGAGUGUGAUAGAGGAUGGUGGAAUUCCCGGUGUAGCGGUGAAAUGCGUAGAGAUCGGGAGGAACACCAGUGGCGAAGGCGGCCAUCUGGAUCAACGACUGACGCUGAGGCACGAAAGCGUGGGGAGCAAACAGGAUU